rnacentral:tRNA from 1 species
CGGGAUGUGGCUCAGUCUGGUAGAGUACUCGCUUCGGGAGCGAGGGGUCGGAGGUUCAAAUCCUCUCAUCCCGACCA